UCAGCAUGUGUGUUAGUGGAAGCGUCUGGAAAGGCGCGCGAUACAGGGUGACAGCCCCGUACACAAAAGCGCAUGUGCUGUGAGCUCGAUGAGUAGGGCGGGACACGUGGUAUCCUGUCUGAAUAUGGGGGGACCAUCCUCCAAGGCUAAAUACUCCUGACUGACCGAUAGUGAACCAGUACCGUGAGGGAAAGGCGAAAAGAACCCCGGCGAGGGGAGUGAAAAAGAACCUGAAACCGU
rnacentral:rRNA from 1 species